AUUGAACGCUGGCGGCAGGCCUAACACAUGCAAGUCGAGCGGAUGAAGGGAGCUUGCUCCUGGAUUCAGCGGCGGACGGGUGUGUAAUGCCUAGGAAUCUGCCUGGUAGUGGGGGAUAACGUCCGGAAACGGGCGCUAAUACCGCAUACGUCCUGAGGGAGAAAGUGGGGGAUCUUCGGACCUCACGCUAUCAGAUGAGCCUAGGUCGGAUUAGCUAGUUGGUGGGGUAAAGGCCUACCAAGGCGACGAUCCGUAACUGGUCUGAGAGGAUGAUCAGUCACACUGGAACUGAGACACGGUCCAGACUCCUACGGGAGGCAGCAGUGGGGAAUAUUGGACAAUGGGCGAAAGCCUGAUCCAGCCAUGCCGCGUGGGUGAAGAAGGUCUUCGGAUUGUAAAGCACUUUAAGUUGGGAGGAAGGGCAGUAAGUUAAUACCUUGCUGUUUUGACGUUACCAACAGAAUAAGCACCGGCUAACUUCGU
rnacentral:rRNA from 1 species